AUCCAGGCAAAGAAGCGGAAAAGGGCAGAAAGGUUCGGGAUCGUCUGAGCUGCUGCAGCCUCUCCUCAGGUGGGCCUUGCCUGAACCCUUCCCCUGUUGAAGACUUGAGCUCCCAGGAUUUGGAAUUUCGGGAAUCUCAUCCCGGAGCCUUGGGAGCAGCGGGGCCGGGGCCAUUCCCGGAAUUCCGGGGCCAUUCCCAGCCCAAGAGAUUCUAUUUUUUUGGGAAUUCUCCUUUUCCACCCUUGGGAACAUCGGAGACUCCGGGAAGUUCCUGGGAUGUUCCUUCCCUUCCCAAAAAUCCUCAGUUUUUCCCAGUUUUCUCCCAGUUUUUUCCCGGUUUUUCCCGGGUUUUGUAUUCCCAGUUUUUUCUAUUUUCCCGGUUUUUCCCUCGGAAGGGUCGGGCUCUGCCCCUCAUCCCACAUUUCCCAAUAAAAAUCUUCCCUUUUCCAA